UUAUCCAAAUAAUACCACAAUUUUAAGUUUAAGUUUCAGAUAACUCAAAAUUAUCGCAUUAUAAACUUCAUUCAAACUUCAUAACAACUUGGAUAUUUCCAAUAAUAUUUGAAAGUGCAUCUUGACAUUAUCUGUAACAAAUGUACAAGGAGAUUCCAAGUACAAUUGACUUGAUAAAUCACUACACAUACUACAACAAGUUCUCACUAAUAAACAACAUAAACUACAAACAGAGUUCACGCAGCUCAAUCGCGUGCAAGCCAUGAUUGCUGCUGAAACCAAAGCAAGACGACAACAAUCGAAAACAAGUUUAGCCGAAGAUUUAUGCCAAUGUUCACAAAUUGGCUUCUACAAAGUACAAAUCCAUGCCGAGAGAACAAAGUCAAAGAUAAAUAUCAUAUCACUAGUUAUGUACUUUCUAGUGAGUGUAUCAUGGCCAUUACCAGCUCGUAAUUUACAUAAAUUAUACAGCUUCACCGAAUAUUUAUGAUAAAGUUGGACUCGAAUAAAAGGGCCAGGUCACACAUGAUUUAUUUAUGGN
rnacentral:lncRNA from 1 species